rnacentral:rRNA from 1 species
GGUAUGGUGGGUCCAGCAGCGGCGGAAAUACAGAUGGUGUGAGGGUCAUGCGGAUUUUCAUGGGUUAAAGCGCGCGGAGGUGGUUAAUUAAUGAAAAUGUGAAAGCCCCUAGCGUAACUUGGGAAUGGCAGUCGAGACUGGUGAGCGAGAGUAUGGGCGAGGAUGGUAGAAUUCCAGGUGUAGCGGUGAAAUGCGUAGAGAUCUUGAGGAAUACCGAGGGAGAAGGCAGCCAUCUGGCCUAAUACUGACACUGAGGUGCGAAAGCAUGGGGAGCAAACAGGAUUAGAUACCCUUGUAGUC